rnacentral:lncRNA from 1 species
CGCUUUUGCAUAACUUCAGUAGAUAAAGCAUGCUGAGGUCAUGUCAGGUCAUUUCAAGCUCUUCUGUGUCGAGCUAAGGAGCUGCUCUGUGCCCGGCUUACAGAACUGGAAGGGGUAGCCACCUUCCGCCUGAUGGAGGCUGGAGAACGGAUGGAACCUGGAUCCCUGGAGCCUGGGACACUACCUCGCUGCGCUUUUGCUGUGUUGGGCACUUGCUCCCAUCUGCUUUCUUCUCUAGAAUCCACUGCCCUAGAAUGAGUAAUUUUUCUUAGAAGCAGAGUUGGAACCACUGAGGAAGCACAGGACCACCAGAACAACACCAUCAUGGCCCUGUCACCAGGCCCAGUUUGGCUCCAUGAUAACCAAGACGCAGGUCCAGAGACAACCGCCCUGCUUGAUGCCUGCAUCUGACCUCCCUUGGUGGGUAGUGAUGAGCACAACAUGGAAGAAGCCAGGGCAGCUUGUGGCCAGCUGCCCUACAGCCCCAGAUGGCUGGGGACAAGGAUUCCAAAAGGAUGAUUUUAGAGCUGUAGGAUUGAAUGACUGGCCUGCUGGGUUUUGGAUGUUCAUGUAUCCUAUGAGUCCCAUCGGUGUUUGUUUUUCUUUCAGGCAAUUUUUCUUCUAUUGGCUGGGAAUGCUUACCCAUUGCCUGUACAAUCAUUGUACCUUGGAAGUAGUUAACUUGCUUUAUAAUUCAGAGGCUCAUGGGCAGAAGGGACUGUAUCCUUGUCCCAGAUAAAACUUUGGGCUUUGGACAUUUGCUGGAAUGAGUUAAGAUUUGGGGGACUGUAGGGAAGUCAUCAUUGUAUUUUGCAACGUGAGAAAGACAUAUGAGAUUUGCAUGGGCAGGGACAGAAUAAUAUGACUUGGCUCUGUGUCCCACUGCUGUGAAAUUGUAACGGGAAAUGUUAAAGGUGGUGGGGGCUGGUGGAAGGUGAUUUAAUCAUGGUGGAGAGUGGAG